rnacentral:lncRNA from 1 species
CUUCGUCUUGAUGUACUUUAUAAUAGAUACAUUAAAUCGUUUUAAUACAUUUUUUUUUUUACAAAAUUAUAAAAAAAAUAACAAUAAUAAACGGACUAUAUUAGUAAUAUGCACAGAGUGAACAAGGAAAAAGAGAGAUUUUCUUCUUAUGACAUGUAAUGGUUAAUCGUAUUCACAAUUUCACAAAAUUGUUUUAGAGAUGAUAGGAGGACAAAAUGUGGCUUAUAGGAAAGCCAACGCAGAGUCAAGACAAGAGACAGAACACCAGAGACAUUCGUGUCAUGCGCAGUGAAGGAACAAACUAGAACUUGUUAUUCCGUCGUACAGGCCAAGGUGGCUCGACCAUUUCCCAGACUUGUAGUACUAUUGAGGAUAUCAAAAUAUUAAUUGUUUCUUUCUCUUCUUUUCUUUUUUUGUGAUUAAUAAUAAUAAUAAUUGACGUUUAAAGUGUUAGAGCCAACAAAAAAUAAUAAUAAUAACUGCACUUUGAAAAUGCGUUGUAGCUUCUCGAGCCAAAGUAAUAGAAAUAUUACGUUUUUCGUGAACAUAUUUUUUAAUUAUCUUUUUAUCUCACAAAUAUCAAACUAUUACAGUAAUUUUUUUACAAAAAAAAAAAAAAAAUCAGAAAAAUACAAUCCAAACAAAGCCUAAAGUGUCACCUGUGAGACAGCGAGGGCAAAGCAUGAUUGAUGUUGAUGUUAACUUCUCCGCAGGCGCAAAAUGAAAUGGUCAUUAGUAUACAAACGACCAAAUUUUCCCAUAAAGAUGUCUCCAUACAUUCCCACUAGUCUUACUGCGGAGAUGUUCAAUUUAGAAAACGAAAGAAAGAAAAAUGUCAGGGUAAAGAGGUGGAAAUGCUGCCAUUCAUAUUCUUCUCUCGAAUGAGUGUGAAAACACUUAGCACCAUAU